rnacentral:rRNA from 1 species
CGUUGAAAGCACGACAUCUCGUCUAGAGC